rnacentral:rRNA from 1 species
AACGAACGCUGGCGGCAGGCUUAACACAUGCAAGUCGAGCGCCCCGCAAGGGGUGCGGCAGACGGGUGAGUAACGCGUGGGAAUCUACCCAUCCCUACGGAAUAGCUCCGGGAAACUGGAAUUAAUACCGUAUACGCCCUACGGGGGAAAGAUUUAUCGGGGAUGGAUGAGCCCGCGUUGGAUUAGCUAGUUGGUGGGGUAAAGGCCUACCAAGGCGACGAUCCAUAGCUGGUCUGAGAGGAUGAUCAGCCACAUUGGGACUGAGACACGGCCCAAACUCCUACGGGAGGCAGCAGUGGGGAAUAUUGGACAAUGGGGGCAACCCUGAUCCAGCCAUGCCGCGUGAGUGAUGAAGGCCUUAGGGUUGUAAAGCUCUUUCACCGGGGAAGAUAAUGACGGUACCCGGAGAAGAAGCCCCGGCUAACUUCGUGCCAGCAGCCGCCGUAA